rnacentral:tRNA from 1 species
GCAUUGGUACUUCAGUGGUAGGAUUCUCGCCUGCAACAUGGGAGGCCUGGGUUCAAGUGCCGACCAAUGCA